rnacentral:rRNA from 1 species
AUUGAACGCUGGCGGCAGGCCUAACACAUGCAAGUCGAACGAGUGGCGGACGGGUGCGUACUGUCUGGGAAACUGCCCGAUGGAGGGGGAUAACUCCUGGAAACGGUAGCUAAUACCGCAUACCAUCGGAUGUGCCCAGAUGGGAUUAGCUAGUAGGUGGGGUAACGGCUCACCUAGGCGCCGAUCCCUAGCUGGUCUGAGAGGAUGACCAGCCACACGGGAACUGAGACACGGUCCAGAAUCCUACGGGAGGCAGCAGUGGGGAAUAUUGCACAAUGGGCGAAAGCCUGAUGCAGCCAUGCCGCGUGUAUGAAGAAGGCCUUCGGGUUGUAAAGUACUUUCAGCGAGGAGGCGUUACUCGCAGAAGAAGCACAGGCUAACUCCGUGCCAGCAGCCGCGGUAAUAC